UACGGAGGAUCCGAGCGUUAUCCGGAUUUAUUGGGUUUAAAGGGUGCGCAGGCGGGAGAUUAAGUCGGCGGUGAAAUUUUGCAGCUCAACUGUAAAAGUGCCUUCGAAACUGGUUUCCUUGAGUGUAGAUGAAGUAGGCGGAAUUUGUGGUGUAGCGGUGAAAUGCUUAGAUAUGACGCAGAACUCCGAUUGCGAAGGCAGCUUACUGGGAUGCAACUGACGCUGAGGCACGAAAGCGUGGGUAUCAAACAGGAUUAGAUACCCCGGUA
rnacentral:rRNA from 1 species